rfam:Rattus norvegicus chromosome X, whole genome shotgun sequence.
GGAGAGAUGGCUCAGUGGUUAAGAGCACUGACUGCUCUUCCAGAGGUCCUGAGUUCAAAUCCCAGUCACCACA